rnacentral:rRNA from 1 species
CAGUCGCCACGGGAACACGUAGGGUGCGAGCGUUGAUCGGAAUUACUGGGCGUAAAGCGUGCGCAGGCGGUUUUGUAAGACAGGCGUGAAAUCCCCGGGCUCAACCUGGGAAUGGCGCUUGUGACUGCAAAGCUAGAGUGCGGCAGAGGGGGAUGGAAUUCCGCGUGUAGCAGUGAAAUGCGUAGAUAUGCGGAGGAACACCGAUGGCGAAGGCAAUCCCCUGGGCCUGCACUGACGCUCAUGCACGAAAGCGUGGGGAGCAAACAGGAUUAGAUACCCCUGUAGUCCCUGUCUCUUAUAC